UACAGAAGAGUGCGUCUGAUAUGGUCUC
rnacentral:piRNA from 1 species